rnacentral:rRNA from 1 species
UGGGGAAUAUUGGACAAUGGGCGCAAGCCUGAUCCAGCCAUGCCGCGUGUGUGAAGAAGGCCUUAUGGUUGUAAAGCACUUUAAGCGAGGAGGAGGCUACUUUAGUUAAUACCUGGAGAUAGUGGACGUUACUCGCAGAAUAAGCACCGGCUAACUCUGUGCCAGCAGCCGCGGUAAUACAGAGGGUGCAAGCGUUAAUCGGAUUUACUGGGCGUAAAGCGCGCGUAGGCGGCUAAUUAAGUCAAAUGUGAAAUCCCCGAGCUUAACUUGGGAAUUGCAUUCGAUACUGGUUAGCUAGAGUGUGGGAGAGGAUGGUAGAAUUCCAGGUGUAGCGGUGAAAUGCGUAGAGAUCUGGAGGAAUACCGAUGGCGAAGGCAGCCAUCUGGCCUAACACUGACGCUGAGGUGCGAAAGCAUGGGGAGCAAACAGG